rnacentral:rRNA from 1 species
AACGAACGCUGGCGGCAGGCCUAACACAUGCAAGUCGAGCGAAGCCUUCGGGCUUAGCGGCGGACGGGUGAGUAACGCGUGGGAACGUGCCCUUUGGUACGGAAUAGCCCCGGGAAACUGGGAGUAAUACCGUAUGUGGUCGAGAGACGAAAGAUUUAUCGCCAAAGGAUCGGCCCGCGUUGGAUUAGGUAGUUGGUGGGGUAAUGGACUACCAAGCCGACGAUCCAUAGCUGGUUUGAGAGGAUGAUCAGCAACACUGGGACUGAGACACGGCCCAGACUCCUACGGGAGGCAGCAGUGGGGAAUCUUAGACAAUGGGGGAAACCCUGAUCUAGCCAUGCCGCGUGAUCGAUGAAGGCCUUAGGGUUGUAAAGAUCUUUCAGUGGGGAAGAUAAUGACUGUACCCACAGAAGAAGCCCCGGCUAACUCCGUGCCAGCCGCCGCAGUAACAC